rnacentral:tRNA from 9 species
UCCUCUGUAGUUCAGUCGGUAGAACGGCGGACUGUUAAUCCGUAUGUCGCUGGUUCGAGUCCAGUCAGAGGAGCCA